ACUUUGGCAAAACUUGGAUUCAGUCGACAUCAAAGUUUGACCCCAGUUUCACCCAACUCUUGCCAAACUUUGACCCAAACUUUUUUGUUUCGUUUCAAAAUUGGGUAAAAGUUUGGUAAGAGUUGGGCA
ensembl:ncRNA R03A10.13 ncRNA